rnacentral:rRNA from 1 species
GACGAACGCUGGCGGCGUGCCUAAUACAUGCAAGUCGAACGCAGUGGGGACGGGUGAGUAACACGUGGGUAAACUACCAUCAGAGGGGAUAACAGUUGGAAACAGGUGCUAAACCGAUACGGAUGGAGGGACCAGCGGUGCAUUAGCUAGUUGGUGAGGUAGCGGCUCACCAAGGCCACGAUCCAUAGCCGACCUUGGAGGGUGAUCGGCCACACUGGGACUGAGACACGGCCCAGACUCCUACGGGAGGCAGCAGUAGGGAAUCUUCGGCAAUGGACGAAAGUCUGACCGAGCAACGCCGCGUGAGUGAAGAAGGUUUUCGGAUCGUAAAACUCUGUUGUUAGAGAAGCGGUAUCUAACCAGAAAGUCACGGCUAACUACGUGCCAGCAGCCGCGGUAAUUC